rnacentral:rRNA from 1 species
AUUGAACGCUGGCGGCAGGCCUAACACAUGCAAGUCGAACGAGUGGCGGACGGGUGAGCAAUGUCUGGGAAACUGCCUGAUGGAGGGGGUUAACUACUGGAAUCUGUAGCUAAUUCCGCAUACACUCGGAUGUGCCCAGAUGGGAUUAGCUAGUAGGAGGGGUAAAGGCAAACAUAGGCCACGAUCCCUUACUGGUCUGAGCGGAUGACCAGACACACUGUAACUGAGACACGGUCAAGACUCCUACGGGAGGCAGCAGUGGGGAAUGUUGCACAAUGGGCGCAAGCCUGAUGCAGACAGGCCGCGUGUAUGAAGAAGGCCUUCGGGUUGUAAAGUACUUUCAGCGGGGAGGCGUUACGCGCAGAAGAAGCACCGGCUAACUCCGUGCCAGCAGCCGCGGUAAUUC